GAUGAACGCUGACAGAAUGCUUAACACAUGCAAGUCGACUCGAGUCUUCGGACUUGGGUGGCGCACGGGUGAGUAACGCGUAAAGAACUUGCCUCUUAGACCGGGACAACAUCUGGAAACGGAUGCUAAUACCGGAUAUUAUGGUUUUUUCGCAUGGAGGAAUCAUGAAAGCUAGAUGCGCUAAGAGAGAGCUUUGCGUCCCAUUAGCUAGUUGGUGAGGUAACGGCCCACCAAGGCAAUGAUGGGUAGCCGGCCUGAGAGGGUGAACGGCCACAAGGGGACUGAGACACGGCCCUUACUCCUACGGGAGGCAGCAGUGGGGAAUAUUGGACAAUGGACCACAAGUCUGAUCCAGCAAUUCUGUGUGCACGAUGACGUUUUUCGGAAUGUAAAGUGCUUUCAGUCGGGAAGAAGUCAGUGACGGUACCGACAGAAGAAGCGACGGCUAAAUACGUGCCAGCAGCCGCGGUAAUACGUAUGUCGCAAGCGUUAUCCGGAUUUAUUGGGCGUAAAGCGCGUCUAGGCGGCAAGGAAAGUCUGAUGUGAAAAUGCGGAGCUCAACUCCGUAUGGCGUUGGGAAACUGCCUUACUAGAGUACUGGAGAGGUAGGCGGAUACUACAAGUGUAGAGAUGAAAUUCGUAGAUAUUUGUAGGAAUGCCGAUGGGGGAAGCCAGCCUACUGGACAGAGACUGACGCUAAAUCGCGAAAAGCGUGUGUAGCAAACAGG
rnacentral:rRNA from 1 species